AGAGUUUGAUCCUGGCUCAGGAUGAACGCUAGUGGCAGGCUUAACACAUGCAAGUCGAGGGGCAGCGGGGUGUAGCAAUACACUGCCGUCGACCGGCGCACGGGUGCGUAACGCGUAUGCAACCUACCCAUAACAGGGGCGAUAACACUGAGAAAUUGGUACUAAUUCCCCAUAACAUUCGAAGAGGCAUCUCUUUGGGUUG
rnacentral:rRNA from 1 species